CCUACGGGUGACAGCAGUGAGGAAUAUUGGUCAAUGGACGAGAGUCUGAACCAGCCAAGUAGCGUGAAGGAUGACUGCCCUAUGGGUUGUAAACUUCUUUUAUAUGGGAAUAAAAUGUUCCAAGUGUGGGAUUUUGUAUGUACCAUAUGAAUAAGGAUCGGCCAACUCCGUGCCAGCAGCCGCGGUAAUACGGAGGAUCCGAGCGUUAUCCGGAUUUAUUGGGUUUAAAGGGCGCGUAGGUGGAUUGGUAAGUCAGUUGUGAAAGUUUGCGGCUCAUCCGUAAAAUUGCAGUUGAAACUGGCAGUCUAGAGUACAGUAGAGGUGGGCGGAAUUCGUGGUGUAGCGGUGAAAUGCUUAGAUAUCGCGAAGAACUCCGAUUGCGAAGGCAGUUCACUGGACUGCAACUGACACUGAGGCUCGAAGGUGUGGGUAUCAAACAGGAUUAGAUACCCCAGUAGUC
rnacentral:rRNA from 1 species